rnacentral:lncRNA from 1 species
GUUGGCAGACCUCUGGAAAUCAAACUAAGACCGCCCACUAGGGGUCCUCGGCCCCCUGGUUGAUUUUGCUUCGCCACCUAAACAGUCAUUCACUGCAUUGCAACUCAGACAUAAAGUGACGAAGAAGCCCGCGUGUGAGAACAUUACGGUGGCCUACUACUUCUGUGGGGAGCCCAUCCCGUACAGGACGUCGGUCAAAGGUCGCAUGGUCAUGCUGGGCCAGUUCAAAGAGCUGCUGACUAAGAAAGGAAGCUACAGGUACUUUUUCAAGAAGGUAAGCAAUGACUUUGGGGUGGUGUUCGAAGAGGUACGCGAAGAUGACGCCAUCUUGCCCAUCUUUGAGGAGAAGAUCAUUGGGAAAGUGGAAAAGAUUGAUUGACAUAGAGGUGGAGAGGAAGGAGACGCUCACAACGUCGGCCUGCGACGGAGCUAUCGGUGGAUGAGCUGUUCGCUUGAGAGAGACCGAGAGAAAGUGUUUGAUUAGAGGGAGGAUUGGCAGGGGAGAAAAGGUACGGAGUAAGUCGCUACAGGAGGGAAUGGAUGAGAGGAGGAGCGAAUGAGGAGAAGAGUGCAUAGUGGUCACUGUGGGAGACACUCAUGACUCCAAGGCUUUCAUAUCUGCUCAGUGCCACUGCAUUGUGCAGACAGAGUAGGAAAGCAUUGGACAAAAGAAAAAGCUGUCAUUCUCUCCUUCGGUGUCUUUCGGGGUGUAAUGUAAUGUACCAUUGUACAAUUUGAAUAGAAGAAAAAUGCUAUGAAUCUGCUUACUAAAGCAGCAUAUUAUUUUUGAUAUGAAGUAUCAGAAGGUAUCCUUUCUAAUGUAUCCAAGCUUGUCAUUUUUAUAUGUGUUGGUACCAGAUGUGUACAGAUUGUCUGUUUUAAAACAUAACGAUAAAGUUUUAUAUUAUCUAUUUAAAUAUUUGAAAAAGCGGUCGUUUUAAUCCUAUUAAAGCAGCGGCGCUGUUCCAAUUCGACGAGAUCCAAGUGUUUUGACAGGGCUGUUUUUCAAGUGUUUUAGGAACUAUUAUACAGCCCCAUGUUCUACCAAGUGCUUUUUACAGGACCACUCAACCUUGCCAGUCCUCUAAAGUUAAGUGGCAUUGAGUUGUCGUGCUGCACUUAUCACUGUAUUAGGCAUUAGUGUCAAUGGAGCAAAAUGAAAAAGGAAUGCCUUCUUGAGGUUGCCCUUAACUGAUUCUGCCUUCAUGUUUUGUGUUUUUCAAUUAGAAAGGGGCUCCCCAGCAGUAGCUCGAUCUGUGUACAAUGUACUGUACUCUGAGGUCUCUAAACUUUCCCCAUAGUGUACGUAUGUAUGCACAUUAAAUACAUGAUUAUACCCAUACCUGCGGACAUCUGCCAACUUAAAUUGAUCCCCACUAUGUUCAGUAACUUUAAUUUUGCUACAUUUAGGUCUUAACUGUAGCAGAUCAGGGCAGAAAAUAACAUCUUUGAUCAGAGAUCAUCACAACCAGUUGUGUACGUGCUACUGACAGUUCAGAUCCAGAUUCUAUUUACAGUCUAGAGCUUUUCUAGGCAUUUAAGACCAGAGUCCAUAGUAAAAGUCUCCUGAAGGUUCAUACACGGGUGUCUGUGUAGAGAAAGGGUCUGUGCGCGGAACUUUGUCACAAAGUAACUACCGCGUUCAAUAGAGCGUUGAUCAUCUAAUGUGUGUUCACAUGCAUUCGGAAAGGCUCCUGACCCCAUGGUUUCACUCUGGACAAUGAAAGGACAUAGUAUAUGUUUACCUAGUAAAUAUAUCACAAAUACAGCUGAAUAAUGACUUGUAGCCUUUCAUAGCUCUAUAGAGCUACAUUUGGUGCCUGGCAGAAAUUGUCUCUAGAAAUAACUUUAGUAUGAAAUGAUCUACUUUUUUGAUAGGUCACAAUACACCAAAGAGAACGGUAGAAGUUGAUAUAUAUUUCUCAUCCCCUUUUCUCUUCUUUAUUUACCCUCAUUCACAUGGGUACUCUUUGAUUAUUCUCCAAAUCCCUGUGUUGAAGUGGAAUUCUCUUGUACGAUGUUCUAGGGCAGGGCUCUCCAGCCCUGUCCCUGGAGAGCUACCCUCCAUGUAGGUUUCUGCUCCAACCCUGUCCCUGGAGAGCUACCCUCCAUGUAGGUUUCUGCUCCAACCCUGUCCCUGGAGAGCUACCCUCCAUGUAGGUUUCCACUCCAGCCCUGUCCCUGGAGAGCUACCCUCCAUGUAGGUUUCCACUCCAACCCUGUCCCUGGAGAGCUACCCUCCAUGUAGGUUUCCGCUCCAGCCCUGUCCCUGGAGAGCUACCCUCCAUGUAGGUUUCUGCUCCAGCCCUGUCCCUGGAGAGCUACCCUCCAUGUAGGUUUCUGCUCCAACCCUGUCCCUGGAGAGCUACCCUCCAUGUAGGUUUCCACUCCAACCCUGUCCCUGGAGAGCUACCCUCCAUGUAGGUUUCUGCUCCAGCCCCAGCUGUAACUAACCUGAUUCAGCUCAUCAAUCAGCUAAUGACUACAAUUGUUUGCGCUAGAUUAGGGUUGGAGGGAACCUGCAGGAUGGUAGCUGUCCAGGAACGGCCUGUUCUAGGCCGUUGUGCUGGGGUCAGUGCAAGGUGGAAUGUGCUAAGCGUUGUGAUUAGGAUGGUAAGGACCUUUUUCAUCAGAGUGCUGUAUUGCUGGGUGUUGUUCUGUGUCAACAACACAUAUAAGAGGACAUCUCCUUUUCUGAGAUGCUUUUUUUGUAUUUAUUUAGAUGGAUAUUUUUCAAGAAUCUGUAUAAAGUUAACAUACGUAGUGGACAACCCUCUAUGGCUCCUGUUUAAAGGUUUGAAUAACCGUAUUUAAUGUUUUUAUAACGAGAGGUAUUUACUCCAUGAUCUUUGACAAUAUUGGUACUCAGCCAUCAUCUGUCACACUACAAUGUAGAAUUUGGCCCUCUGUUAUAAUUAUUAAUAGAUGUUCACUGUCUGUAUGUAUUACCAAUGGAGGGCAGUGAUUCUUACUGUGAAAGCCCCAAAGUGAACUUCCCCCCCCACUUAUGGUCAAUGAAAUGUACAUAACAGCCAUCACAGAGUGCCUUUUAUUGCCAUCCUCUCAUGUCAUCCGCUAUGUGAUUCUCACGUAUUACCAGGGCCUUGCUUUAUAUUUUUAUUUAGCGUCUUACAAAGGAUGUUCUGUUCAAGCGUUUCCUGUGUCACAUCUCACUUUGGAUAAAACUUUUCUAUGUAAAUAUGUAAAAAUUGUACAUGUCAUCAACCAGCAAUUCACUUAGGAGAUAUUCAAUACCCUGGACCUGUUUUCUUUGUGCUGAGUUGUGCGGUUAUCAUUUAAAGGUACUUGAACAAUAAAUACAUGUAAUAAACCUAAACUUCUG